UACGUAGGUGGCAAGCGUUGUCCGGAUUUACUGGGCGUAAAGAGCGCGCAGGCGGUCGUUCAAGUCGCGUGUGAAAGCCCCCGGCUCAACUGGGGAGGGUCACGCGAUACUGAUCGACUCGAAGGCAGGAGAGGGAAGUGGAAUUCCCGGUGUAGAGGUGAAAUUCGUAGAUAUUAGGAAGAACACCGGUGGCGAAGGCGGCCCACUGGAUCGGUACUGACGCUGAGGUGCGAAAGCGUGGGGAGCAAACAGG
rnacentral:rRNA from 1 species